rnacentral:ncRNA from 1 species
UUUCUAGUGAUGAAAAGUUUGCAGUAGUUUCUAUAUUCCCUGUUUAGAGAGCUAGCGGUUGGUGAAAGCUAGUCAUAAUGUAGAAAUGAAUUACGUACUUGGAGCUUAGACGUGCGCGCCUGCGAUAAAGGCGGUCAAUGAAGAGGAAGAUGGAUGACAUCUUCAAGCCGGGUGGUACCGCGUUAAGUGAAAUUUAACGUCCCUGCA